GCUCCGGUGGCUUAGUGGUUAGAGCGUCUGUCUCUGAUGCGGAAGGUCGUGGGUUCGAUCCCCGUUCGAGUCA